AUCUGCUAGAGUUCACCAACACAAAAAUAAAAUAUUACCUUUGCUAUACCAGCAAGUUUUGAACCGUGGGAAGUUUUAUCUGACACACCGGUAACCAAACAUCUAUCUAUUGUAACACCAUAGGUGGAGGCAAGUACAAUCUAUAGAGUAUGAAUAGAGAAGGUAAACCUUAGUGUUAUUGCCACAACUUGAUCAUCUAACAAACAUGGAAGAUGGGUUGUACUACUGGUAAUCAUUUUAGAUCAUUCCAAUCCCUUUAUCCAUGGCAGGUAGCCCUACAAUACAGGACAUCGACAUUAUUACAAGUACAUUAAAUAUAUGUUAUAAUGUGUUCACUUUAUCUUUCUUAACUUGUAUCAUACUAUUUGUACAUAGUUUCUUACCUUGCUUUCCAUCCGCACUCGCACAUUUAGCAUCAUGUCUCGUGUUUCAGGCUGAUAUAAGUGAAAAAGCACAAGCGUCUUCAGUGUUUUGGAGCAGAGGCAAAUCAGACUUCCAAGCCCCAGGUAAUGUAUACAAUUAAGAUCACUGCAAAGUAAAAAUAAAAUAAAAUAAAGAGACAUGCCAUUUCAAUGCAAGACCUUUGCUUUUCGUACAUUCAGUUGAUGAUAAUUCAAGAUAUAUGUAUAAAUGCUUAAAUCAAGUCCCUAAGUGGUUAAACAAUCAUCCAUCAUACCAGGACAACAUGUCAAUUGGGUACCAGUCAUGUGGCCUGGAAGUUCAAAGGGCACCAAAAUUCCAAAACCAAAGUACUUUUAGAUCAGAGAAUAAGGCCAUAAAUAGAAUGUCAAGGAACUGGCUACAGAUAUAAGGUCUGAAGAAAUAGCGACAAAUUAUUCCUUGUUUCUCAUUGUUUUCUUAAACCUUAUCACUUUGCAGAGGCACAUGUCUAGUCACCAGGUGAGAUUCUAAAAUCAUCAUCUAUCAUGUGUGGGCAACCUGAGCAAGUUCUCACUAUAAAAAAGGUAAAAAAAAAAAGAAAAAAAGAAAGACAACUAAAGUAUUAAAUUAUGCUUUUUUAAGCAUUUAUACAUUGUAAACGAGUUUUAUCUGACCCAUCAGUAGAAAAAAAUCAGUCUUUCUAUACAAUAGAGGGCCAAAUUUAACAAUUAUGAAGUGGAUAAUGAAAUCCAAGUGAUUAUCACAACUUGGAUACUUCCUAGAACUCGUGGAAGUUGGGUACUUCCUGUCCCAUAUGUUUAAAAACAUAACACUUUAUCCAUACGUCGGGUUUCCUAAACUCUUAAUAGUCAAAUGUAAGGCAAUCCCUAACAAUUAAUUUCAAAUUGAAAGUCACAGAAGCACAACCACAUGGUUUAGGGAAACAUAUUUACAGGCUACAUUAUGGUGAGAAGAGAAGACUUCAUUACCUUGUCGAUUUAUCAAAGAAGUAUAAUUAUCACUAGGUUCCUCUGCAACUAGACUUCAUUACCUUGUUGUUAUGACUCUUUUCAUCAAUUCUUCCAUUCACUCCCCCAUCCAGCUUCCUUUCUACUCUUGUUUUGGAAAAAGAAACCAUACUAAAACAAGGAGAGUCUUUAACUCAUAUCUAAAAUAAAACCUUCGGAUAUAAACCAACUACAAGAAGACAAAGGGAUCAAUAAACUUAGGGCAGAAUGCAGAUAUAACCAUAUUUUCGAAAAAUUCAACAACAAACUUGAAUUUUGCUUUCAAAAUUGAACAUACACUGCAUGUCUCCGUGUUUAGGGCUGCUAUCACUGAAAAAGGACAGGCGUCUUCAGUGUUUUGGAGCACCAGCUAGUCAAACUUCCAAUCCCCUGAUGAUGUAUACAACUAAGUUCACUGCCAAAACAUGCCGUUUCAGUGUAGAACAUUCUCUUUCUAUACAAGUAGUUGAUGCCGAUUUAAGUAAAACAAUUAUGUCCUUCAUCAUUGUGAUUAACAUACACAGAAAGACUGGUUUCCUCCAUCCAAACGUAAGCAUCUAUUAUUGUACCAACUAAUAACAGAAACAACAGGAAGAAUUCCGCAAAUGAAGGCACUGAAACUCCCAAACAGAAAUUAUGCUUUCAAUUCUUCAGCCUUUUUGAACUGAGACUCACAAAUCCAGGAUUAGGCUUUCGAAACCUGGAGCUUUAGUGGUAAUAUACUAAUAUCUGAGACACCAAACUUUCAAACAAUUAAGGUGCAAAUUCUGAAAUUUCAGACUUAAAACAUGACACUUUUUAAUUUUGGUAAG
rnacentral:lncRNA from 1 species